GCCGAGCGACACUCAGGGAAUCUGGCUUGAAGGAACUUCUGGUGUGAUAUGUAUUUAUCAAUAUAUCACAGCCAGUAGUUACCUACGAAAUGGGUUCCCGAUUGCAACAG
rnacentral:pre_miRNA from 1 species